rnacentral:rRNA from 1 species
GAAACCCAGUGUGAUUCGUCACACUAUCAUUAACUGAAUCCAUAGGUUAAUGAGGCGAACCGGGGGAACUGAAACAUCUAAGUACCCCGAGGAAAAGAAAUCAACCGAGAUUCCCCCAGUAGCGGCGAGCGAACGGGGAGCAGCCCAGAGCCUGAAUCAGUGUGUGUGUUAGUGGAAGCGUCUGGAAAGGCGCGCGAUACAGGGUGACAGCCCCGUACACAAAAAUGCACAUGCUGUGAGCUCGAUGAGUAGGGCGGGACACGUGGUAUCCUGUCUGAAUAUGGGGGGACCAUCCUCCAAGGCUAAAUACUCCUGACUGACCGAUAGUGAACCAGUACCGUGAGGGAAAGGCGAAAAGAACCCCGGCGAGGGGAGUGAAAAAGAACCUGAAACCGUGUACGUACAAGCAGUGGGAGCCUCUUUAUGGGGUGACUGCGUACCUUUUGUAUAAUGGGUCAGCGACUUAUAUUCUGUAGCAAGGUUAACCGAAUAGGGGAGCCGAAGGGAAACCGAGUCUUAACUGGGCGUUAAGUUGCAGGGUAUAGACCCGAAACCCGGUGAUCUAGCCAUGGGCAGGUUGAAGGUUGGGUAACACUAACUGGAGGACCGAACCGACUAAUGUUGAAAAAUUAGCGGAUGACUUGUGGCUGGGGGUGAAAGGCCAAUCAAACCGGGAGAUAGCUGGUUCUCCCCGAAAGCUAUUUAGGUAGCGCCUCGUGAAUUCAUCUCCGGGGGUAGAGCACUGUUUCGGCAAGGGGGUCAUCCCGACUUACCAACCCGAUGCAAACUGCGAAUACCGGAGAAUGUUAUCACGGGAGACACACGGCGGGUGCUAACGUCCGUCGUGAAGAGGGAAACAACCCAGACCGCCAGCUAAGGUCCCAAAGUCAUGGUUAAGUGGGAAACGAUGUGGGAAGGCCCAGACAGCCAGGAUGUUGGCUUAGAAGCAGCCAUCAUUUAAAGAAAGCGUAAUAGCUCACUGGUCGAGUCGGCCUGCGCGGAAGAUGUAACGGGGCUAAACCAUGCACCGAAGCUGCGGCAGCGACGCUUAUGCGUUGUUGGGUAGGGGAGCGUUCUGUAAGCCUGUGAAGGUGUGCUGUGAGGCAUGCUGGAGGUAUCAGAAGUGCGAAUGCUGACAUAAGUAACGAUAAAGCGGGUGAAAAGCCCGCUCGCCGGAAGACCAAGGGUUCCUGUCCAACGUUAAUCGGGGCAGGGUGAGUCGACCCCUAAGGCGAGGCCGAAAGGCGUAGUCGAUGGGAAACAGGUUAAUAUUCCUGUACUUGGUGUUACUGCGAAGGGGGGACGGAGAAGGCUAUGUUGGCCGGGCGACGGUUGUCCCGGUUUAAGCGUGUAGGCUGGUUUUCCAGGCAAAUCCGGAAAAUCAAGGCUGAGGCGUGAUGACGAGGCACUACGGUGCUGAAGCAACAAAUGCCCUGCUUCCAGGAAAAGCCUCUAAGCAUCAGGUAACAUCAAAUCGUACCCCAAACCGACACAGGUGGUCAGGUAGAGAAUACCAAGGCGCUUGAGAGAACUCGGGUGAAGGAACUAGGCAAAAUGGUGCCGUAACUUCGGGAGAAGGCACGCUGAUAUGUAGGUGAGGUCCCUCGCGGAUGGAGCUGAAAUCAGUCGAAGAUACCAGCUGGCUGCAACUGUUUAUUAAAAACACAGCACUGUGCAAACACGAAAGUGGACGUAUACGGUGUGACGCCUGCCCGGUGCCGGAAGGUUAAUUGAUGGGGUUAGCGGUAACGCGAAGCUCUUGAUCGAAGCCCCGGUAAACGGCGGCCGUAACUAUAACGGUCCUAAGGUAGCGAAAUUCCUUGUCGGGUAAGUUCCGACCUGCACGAAUGGCGUAAUGAUGGCCAGGCUGUCUCCACCCGAGACUCAGUGAAAUUGAACUCGCUGUGAAGAUGCAGUGUACCCGCGGCAAGACGGAAAGACCCCGUGAACCUUUACUAUAGCUUGACACUGAACAUUGAGCCUUGAUGUGUAGGAUAGGUGGGAGGCUUUGAAGUGUGGACGCCAGUCUGCAUGGAGCCGACCUUGAAAUACCACCCUUUAAUGUUUGAUGUUCUAACGUUGACCCGUAAUCCGGGUUGCGGACAGUGUCUGGUGGGUAGUUUGACUGGGGCGGUCUCCUCCUAAAGAGUAACGGAGGAGCACGAAGGUUGGCUAAUCCUGGUCGGACAUCAGGAGGUUAGUGCAAUGGCAUAAGCCAGCUUGACUGCGAGCGUGACGGCGCGAGCAGGUGCGAAAGCAGGUCAUAGUGAUCCGGUGGUUCUGAAUGGAAGGGCCAUCGCUCAACGGAUAAAAGGUACUCCGGGGAUAACAGGCUGAUACCGCCCAAGAGUUCAUAUCGACGGCGGUGUUUGGCACCUCGAUGUCGGCUCAUCACAUCCUGGGGCUGAAGUAGGUCCCAAGGGUAUGGCUGUUCGCCAUUUAAAGUGGUACGCGAGCUGGGUUUAGAACGUCGUGAGACAGUUCGGUCCCUAUCUGCCGUGGGCGCUGGAGAACUGAGGGGGGCUGCUCCUAGUACGAGAGGACCGGAGUGGACGCAUCACUGGUGUUCGGGUUGUCAUGCCAAUGGCACUGCCCGGUAGCUAAAUGCGGAAGAGAUAAGUGCUGAAAGCAUCUAAGCACGAAACUUGCC